AGAGUUUGAUCCUGGCUCAGGAUGAACGCUGGCGGCGUGCCUAAUACAUGCAAGUCGAGCGAACAGACGAGGAGCUUGCUCCUCUGACGUUAGCGGCGGACGGGUGAGUAACACGUGGAUAACCUACCUAUAAGACUGGGAUAACUUCGGGAAACCGGAGCUAAUACCGGAUAAUAUAUUGAACCGCAUGGUUCAAUAGUGAAAGACGGUUUUGCUGUCACUUAUAGAUGGAUCCGCGCCGCAUUAGCUAGUUGGUAAGGUAACGGCUUACCAAGGCGACGAUGCGUAGCCGACCUGAGAGGGUGAUCGGCCACACUGGAACUGAGACACGGUCCAGACUCCUACGGGAGGCAGCAGUAGGGAAUCUUCCGCAAUGGGCGAAAGCCUGACGGAGCAACGCCGCGUGAGUGAUGAAGGUCUUCGGAUCUUUAAACUCUGUUAUUAGGGAAGAACAAAUGUGUAAGUAACUAUGCACGUCUUGACGGUACCUAAUCAGAAAGCCACGGCUAACUACGUGCCAGCAGCCGCGGUAAUACGUAGGUGGCAAGCGUUAUCCGGAAUUAUUGGGCGUAAAGCGCGCGUAGGCGGUUUUUUAAGUCUGAUGUGAAAGCCCACGGCUCAACCGUGGAGGGUCAUUGGAAACUGGAAAACUUGAGUGCAGAAGAGGAAAGUGGAAUUCCAUGUGUAGCGGUGAAAAUGCGCAGAGAUAUGGAGGAACACCAGUGGCGAGGCGACUUUCUGGUCUGUAACUGACGCUGAUGUGCGAAAGCGUGGGGAUCAAACAGGAUUAGAUACCCUGGUAGUCCAACGCCGUAACGAUGAGUGCUAAGUGUUAGGGGGUUUCCGCCCCUUAGUGCUGCCGCUAACGCAUUAAGCACUCCGCCUGGGGAGUACCACCGCAGGUUGAAACUCAAAGGAAUUGACGG
rnacentral:rRNA from 1 species